AACGAACGCUGGCGGCAGGCUUAACACAUGCAAGUCGAACGGUUGUAGCAAUACAGCAGUGGCGCACGGGUGAGUAACGCGUGGAUAUCUGCCUUUUGGUUCGGAAUAACUCCGGGAAACUGGAGCUAAUACCGGAUGGUUCCUGCGGGAUAAAGAUUUAUCGCCAAAAGAUGAGUCCGCGUACGAUUAGCUAGUUGGUGAGGUAAUGGCUCACCAAGGCGACGAUCGUUAGCUGGUCUGAGAGGACGAUCAGCCACACUGGGACUGAGACACGGCCCAGACUCCUACGGGAGGCAGCAGUGGGGAAUAUUGGACAAUGGGGGCAACCCUGAUCCAGCCAUGCCGCGUGAGUGAUGAA
rnacentral:rRNA from 1 species